CUCUGACCACCCGCAGACUGCAGGCUCCCUAGGGGCUGGGCAGCCUUGUGGCUUCUGUGGCCUGGGGCUCUAGCAAGUGCCUGACGGUGACUGAGAGCAGACAGAGAAACGGGCUGACUCACGGUCCGAGUGGGUGAGCGCUGAGAUAGGGGAGGGUUUUCCAACCUGAAGCUAGACACUCACUCUCUCAUUCGGCAAACAUUUACUGAGCCCCUACCAGGUGCCACGUACUCUUACAAGUGCUGGCUAGUCAGCAAGAAAGAAGGGAGCCCUGCCCACCCUGCUUUCCAUGGAGACCGAGGACGGGGAACGAGAAAUGUAAACCAAGCCCCAACAGCCAGCAGGGACAGCCGCACUGAAGGCACUUGGGAGUGACUGGGAGACUAUUACCCUGGGAAGAGUUAUGCUCUUGACAGAAGAAUCUCAGCUGAAAAGCUGAUCCAGUGUGUCUGAGUUAUGCGUAUCUUCGGAGGGAGAGAGACACAAGUUAUGAGGGCCUGUGUGGACGCUCCAUCCACCUGGCAGCUUACCUACUUCCAAGUUACCCACCGGGCAAACCCACAGGUCCAAAGUGAGGACAAACAUCACAGUCCUCCCGGGAAAUGGGUAAUAGAGCCGUCCUGGGGUCUGUGAUGGGAAGAACUGAAGGCUGGCCAUGGAUCUGGAAAGUGAUGACCUGCAGCUUAGAGGCAGAUGAAUACCAGGACACCUCCCCCAAAUCAUCAGGGCCCUUGGGGGCUCCUGGAAUGUUUCUGCGUGGGCCCUGGCCUGACAGGAAGAUGGAAGACGGUGGGAUAAGUCAAUCCUCCCUCAGAAGGUGGCUGAGAAGUCUGAGGUAAUAACAGCUAAUACUGAUAUAGCAUUUACACAUGCCAGCCCCUCAUCACAAGCAUGUUACAGACCUUAACUCCAGGCCUGACGCUGCCUCAUGAAAAAGCCCCAGGCUGGGUGUCACUUAUGGGUCACAAGGCAACUGGUGGGGAAGACUCUAGAGAAGAGCAUGGCAGGCCAUCUCCCACAGGACCCAGGAUUAGCAGAACCAGAUGGAGGUUGGCCUGGUUUUGGGUUCCGAGCCUCUAAGAAGUUUACAGAUCCUCAGCUACAAAGAAAGGGCCAUAAAAGUGGCUGGAUAUCCAGCAGGACCUACAGAGCCCCACUUCAAUAAGUUCGUUUGCCAGAUGACCUGUAAUAUGCAGUAAAAACCAAGAUUCAACAACUAUAAACCUCCAAGAGGACUUCUUGCAUUAAACCUUCUGAGAUGAGCAUGAACACACGCCAUCUGCCUGUGCCCAUGUGAAUGGGCUGCGUCAAGAGGCAGGAGCCUCGGCUGGGCGUCUGCCUGCGGCUCAGGUCACAAUCCCGGGGUCCUGGGAUCGAGCCCCUUAUCGGGCUCCCUGCUCAGCGGGAAGCCUGCUUCUCCCUCUCCCACUCCCCCUGCUUGUGUUCCCGCUCUUGCUGUGUCUCUCUCUGUCAAAUAAAUAAAUAAAAUCUUUUAA